GACGAACGCUGGCGGCGUGCUUAACACAUGCAAGUCGAGCGGAAGGGCCCUGCGUUUGUGGGGUUCACGAGUGGCGAACGGGUGAGUAACACGUGAGUAAAAUGUCCUUGACUUUGGGAUAACUUCAGGAAACUCGGGCGAAUACCGGGGAGGAGCUCUUGCUGCGCGGGGUGGGUUGGUAAGAGUCGGCGGUUGGGGAUGGACUCGCGGCUUAUCAGCUGGUUGGGGGGGUAGGGGAUGUCCAGGGCUGUGACGGGUAGCCGGCAUGAGAGGGUGACCGGGCACAAGGGGACUGCGAGACGGAGCAGACGGCUAUGGGACGCAGCAGUGGGGAAUCUUGCAGAACGGGCGGAAGCCUGUGGCAGAAACGCUGCGUGCGUGAUGACGUCUUAUUGGUGGUAAACCGCUUUGGCCGGUGAUGAAGCGUGAUUGACGGUAACUGGUAAAGAAGCACCGGCUAACUACGUG
rnacentral:rRNA from 1 species